rnacentral:rRNA from 1 species
AAUCAACGCUGGCGGCGUGCCUAACACAUGCAAGUCGAACGAGAAAGUGACUUCGGUCACUGGACAGUGGCGUCCGGGUGAGUAACACGUGGGUAAUCUACCUUCGGGUGGGGAAUAACGUCUCGAAAGAGACGCUAAUACCGCAUAAUGCAGCGGCACCUUAUGGUGAAUAGUUGUUAAAGCGGGGGAUCGCAAGACCUCGCGCCUGAAGAGGAGCCUGCGGCAGAUAGCUAGUUGGUGAGGUAAUGGCUCACCAAGGCUGCGAUCUGUAGCUGGUCUGAGAGGACGGCCAGCCACACUGGCACUGACACACGGGGCCAGACUCCUACGGGAGGCAGCAGUGGGGAAUUUUGGGCAAUGGGCGCAAGCCUGACCCAGCAACGCCGCGUGAGGGAGGAAAUCCUUCGGGAUGUAAACCUCAUAAGUAAGGGAAGAGUGCGGAAGAUUGAAUACAUCUUCCGCUCGACGGUACUUUAUGUAAGCCACGG